GACGAACGCUGGCGGCGUGCUUAACACAUGCAAGUCGAACGGAAAGGCCCUGCUUUUGUGGGGUGCUCGAGUGGCGAACGGGUGAGUAACACGUGAGUAACCUGCCCUUUACUUUGGGAUAACUUCAGGAAACUGGGGCUAAUACCGGAUAGGAGCUCCUGCUGCAUGGUGGGGGUUGGAAAGUUUCGGCGGUUGGGGAUGGACUCGCGGCUUAUCAGCUUGUUGGUGGGGUAGUGGCUUACCAAGGCUUUGACGGGUAGCCGGCCUGAGAGGGUGACCGGCAAAAUUGGGACUGAGAUACGGCACAGAAUACUACGGGAGGAAGCAGUGGGGAAUAUUGCACAAUGGGCGGAAGACUGAUGCAGCAACGCCGCGUGCGGGAUGACGGCCUUCGGGUUGUAAACCGCUUUCGCCUGUGACGAAGCGUGAGUGACGGUAAUGGGUAAAGAAGCACCGGCUAACUACGUG
rnacentral:rRNA from 1 species